GGAGAGGUACCCAAGAGGCUGAAGGGGGGAGAUUGCUAAUCUCCUAGUGGUGUAAAAGCCAGCGAGGGUUCGAAUCCCUCUCUCUCCGCCA
rnacentral:tRNA from 1 species